UGCCGCCCUGAAGGGCGUAUGGUGGAUGCCUUGGCAGACAGUACCGAUGAAGGACGUUUGAGGAUGCGAUAAGCCUCGGGGAGCCUCCAACAUGGCUUCGAUCCGAGGAUUUCCGAAUGGGGCAACCCGCCGGCCGUCAUGGGCCGGCACGGAACCUUGUUGUUCCGGGGGUACGCAGGGAAGUGAAACAUCUCAGUACCUGCAGGAAGGGAUACUCCGUGAGUAGUGGCGAGCGAAAGCGGAUCAGACCAAACCAUGGGCGCGUGAUACCCGUCGGGGGUUGCGUCCGUGGUGUUGAGGGAGCGUGUGUCCCGGUUCCGACGGACCGGGCGGGAGUCAUAAAACGGCUUGCCAGGGGAACAGGCUUGAAGGCCUGGCCGCAGAGGGUGCCAGCCCCGUACCUGGAAGCUUGCCGUCUUCCGAUCAUGCGUCCCAAGUAGCGCGGGCCUCGUGGAAUCCCGUGUGAAUCCGCCCCGACCGUGGGGUAAGUCUAAGCAUACCUGUCUGACCGAUAGCGUACCAGUACCGUGAGGGAAAGGUGAAAAGCACCCCGGGAGGGGAGUGAAAGAGUUCCUGAAACCGUGCGCCUACAAUCCGUCGGAGCCUUCUUUGUGGGGUGACGGCGUGCCUAUCGAAAAAUGAGUCUGCGAGUCAGUGGUGCGUGGCGAGGCUAACCCGUCGUGGGGGAGCCGUAGCGAAGGCGAGUCUCAAAAGGCGUUUUGAGUCGCGUGCCCUGGACCCGAAGCGGGAUGAUCUAGCCCUGGGCAGGUUGAAGCGCGGGUAAGACCGCGUGGAGGACCGAACCCACCUGGGUUGAAAACCGGGGGGAUGACCUGGGGCUAGGGGUGAAAGGCCAAUCAAAUUCCGUGAUAGCUGGUUCUCUCCGAAAUGCAUUUAGGUGCAGCGUCGGUUGAUUGCAUCGCGGGGGUAGAGCUACUGGAUGCUUGCGGGCCCGUGUCGGGUACCAAUAGCAGCCAAACUCCGAAUACCGUGGAUGUGUAUUCCGGCAGUGAGUCGGCGGGGGAUAAGCUCCGUCGUCGAGAGGGAGACAGCCCAGAUCGUCGUCUAAGGUCCCGAAGCGUGUGCUAAGUGGGAAAGGAUGUGGAGUCGCAUAGACAGCCAGGAGGUUGGCUCAGAAGCAGCCAUCCUUGAAAGAGUGCGUAACAGCUCACUGGUCUAGUGGUUCCGCGCCGACAAUGUAGCGGGGCUCAAGCACACCACCGAAGACGCGGCAACAGUUUUUGCUGUUGGGUAGGAGAGCGUCCCGCGUGGGGCGAAGCGGCCGUGGAAACGUGCCGUGGACCGCGCGGGAGCGAGAAUGCAGACAUGAGUAGCGAGAGACGGGUGAGGAUCCCGUCCGCUGGAUGACCAAGGGUUCCGGGGCCACGUUCGUCGUCCCCGGGUGAGUCGGGUCCUAAGGCGAGGCCGACAGGCGUAGUCGAAUGGAUGAACGGGUGGAUAUUCCCGUACCGGCAGCGAACCGCAAGAGCCGAACGGAUGAGUACUAACCUCCGGUCGCGUGGCGUCGUUCCCUUCGGGGUUCGGUGUCCGCGAUUGUUGGGAGCGUAGUCCUGGUAGGUUAGCGCACAGGGGUGACACGGAAUGGGAGCCGGCCGCGGAGGUGGUUUUCCGUGGUCAAGCACGCAGCCCGUCCCAUAGGCAAAUCCGUGGGACAUGUAGGGUGAGGUGCGAUGAUGGGCGCCUUUUGGCGCGAUAUCCGGUGGUCCAGGCCGUCGAGAAAAGCCUCGGCGCGAGGGGCGUUGCCGCCCGUACCCCAAACCGACACUGGUGGUCAGGUAGAGAAUACCAAGGCGAUCGAGCGAAUCCUGGUCAAGGAACUCGGCAAAUCACUCCCGUGCCUUCGGUAUAAGGGAGACCCCCGGACGUGAAGAGGCUUGCCCUCGGAGCGUUUGGGGGUGGCACAGACCAGGGGGUAGCGACUGUUUACCAAAAACACAGGUGCAUGCGAAGGCGCAAGCCGCUGUAUAUGCACUGACGCCUGCCCGGUGCCGGAAGGUUAAGAGGAUCCGUCAGCCCUCGGGUGAAGCGGUGAAUUCAAGCCCCGGUAAACGGCGGUGGUAACUAUAACCAUCCUAAGGUAGCGAAAUUCCUUGUCGGGUAAGUUCCGACCUGCACGAAUGGCGUAACGACUUCCCCACUGUCUCGACCAGGAGCUCGGCGAAAUUGCAGUACGAGUAAAGAUGCUCGUUAAGCGCAGAAGGACGAAAAGACCCCGGGACCUUUACUAUACCUUGGUAUUGGCGUUAGGCGCGGAUUGUGUAGCAUAGGC
rnacentral:rRNA from 1 species